AUGGCAAAUAUCCCAAAGUAUGGAUUGUAGUAUGCAUUUAAUCAAAAUAUGUAGUUCUUCUGGAAGCCAAGGUAAACAUACCGUAAGUCCCAAGUGUUACAUAAUAUUAAUUUUUAAGUGUGCUUUUGCAUCUUUAUAGAAUAUUCAUCCACCUCAGCACCCGACAGCUAGCCUAGCCUUCCUUGGUCGGUUCUGUGAUCCUAAAUGCUGAGUGUAAGUUUUAAGAGUCAAUAUUCAAUUCGUAACUUAAUAGUCAUAAAUAAGCCUUCUUCGUUGGCAGUCAUUGGUUGGCCCUGUGUUCCUAAAUGCUAUCCAAACUUGUUCAACUUUUAUGCUUUAUCACUUUUUACUUCUUUGCGUGAUGAAUGUUUGCAUUGAAUUGCAAGCAGCUCCAGUGCUCCACAUCAUUCCCACUUUAUUGAUGAAGUGAACAAGGAAUUGCAAUCAGCUCCACAUCAUUUGGGUUUCUCAACUUUCAGGGUACACGCUUGGCGCUUGAGCCUCCUGGUACUUAACAUUAUUUUGUUGAUCUUAGUUCGCUAAUCUGUGUGUGUGUAUAUAUAUAUAUAUAUAUGUAUGUAUGUAUAUGUAUUAAUAGGCUAAGUUUAAAGAAUAUUUAUUAGAAUUUGAAAUGAGAAUCCAAUUUUGUGUCAUGUGUCUAAAUUUAUGUGAGGAUUAUAUCAUAAUUAUCUACUUAAGUUUGUAUCAUGUGUCUACUUAAGUUUUUUUAAUCUUUGUAUCAAUUGAGUUAAUGAAUGCAAAAUACUAAUAAUUUAAUAUUAAUGAACUAUAAUAUUAAAAAAAAAAAAACUAAUUACAUAUGCUCAAUAAAAAUCAUCAUACAACAAAUAUCACAAUACGUUCUAUCUUAUUAAAAAAAAAAAAAAAAUGAUCAUAAGUAGUAUUAAAUUUAUGUGAGAAUUUUAAUAUGUGACUAAUUACGUUUUUUUAUUUAUUUUAAAUUUGACUAAUUAUUUAUAUUUUUAUGAUAAAAAGUGUGUUAAAUUUUAAAUGUAUCUAUACGUAUGUAUGUGUUAUAUGCUUUUUUUUUUUAAUAAUUUGACUAAUUAUUUAUAUUUUUAUAAUAAAAAUUGUGUUUAAUUUUAAAUAUAUCUAUAUGUAUGCAUGUGUUACAUGCCUUUUUUUUUUUCUAAUAAUUUAACUAAUUAUUUAUAUUUUUAUAAUAAAAAUUAUGUUUAAUUUUAAAUGUAUCCAUGCGUUUGCAUGAAUUACAUGCUAGUAACACUAAUUUUUUAGCAAAAACCCAACUUUGGCAAUUAAGUAUUUACUUGCAAGUUUAGGAUUGAUGAAAGUAAUUGCCUUUUUUGUAACUAUUGUGGGAAACAACAGUGCACAUUUUUUUGAAUGGCCAAAUGCAAAUAAUUGUUCGGAGGAUUUCAAUCUGGCCAAUGGAUCCAAAAUUAAUGGAAGCUAAUUCAACAGUUGACAAAUUUAGAAUCUGUCUCAUUGUCUCGAUAAAUUUAAAGCAAUUUUGUACAAUUUUGUUGCUUUCGUUUUUUGUUUUUGGCUCAUAACGUUGCCCUUUACAAGUCUUCCCAAAUUUAUAAGCUUAAACAUUAGUGCACUAUUUAGCAGAUUCAAAUGGUGGCUAUUGUGGCGGGGGGUGGAGGUCUGAUUCGAAAUGAAGAAGGCAGAUGGUUAGUGGGUUUUGCUCGCAAGAUAGGAAUCACUUCAAGCUUCCUUGCUGAACUUUGGGCACUUAGAGAUGGCUUGAGCUUAUGUGUAAGCCGAGGUUUUGCAGCUGUUGAAGUAGAAUUAGACGCUAAGUCUAUCGUGGAUGCUAUCUCUAACCCGGAAUAUGCUAACAUUUUUGCUUCCUCGCUCAUGGAGGAUUGUAGGCACAUGGUCAAGCAAGUUCCCCAAAUCCGGUUUAAGCAUUGCUUCCGAGAAGCUAAUCGGUGUGCUGAUGCUCUUGCUAGGAUGGGAGGAAUUCUAGAUGCUGAUUUUACUGUUUUUGAGAAUCCGCCUGUGGACAUCUCCAAUUUCUUAGAAUUUGAUUGUAAUGGCCUGUUCUUGAAUAGUGUUAGAGAUAUAUAUUAAACAUAUAUUAGCCCAAUGUAGUAGGCCCAGGCUCAUUCCUGCUUGUACUAGUAGUCUAGGGUUUAGUCGUCUAUAUAUACUCAUGUUAGGGUUCAUUGUAACACAGGUUAUUGUACUACACUCCUAUACAAUAAAGAUGUAGCCUUUAAGGGAUUCCUCUGUGGAUGUAGGCCGUCAAGGCUGAACCACGUAAUCCUUGUGUUCUUGAUGUUCAUAUUCUAUGUUUCUCCUUCCGCAUCCACUCUAGCAUCCACAACAUGGUAUAACACAUCGCGUUUGCUGAUAAUAUUGUCUAUUUAACAUGAUAUCAGAGCUAAUAUUCAACAAAUAGGCUCAGCCCAGCUCCUCUGUUUCCUGUUUAGUUUUGUUUAAUCUAAUUCCUCUUCAUCCAAAAAAAAAAAAAAAAUGGUGGCUGUUGUUGAAAGUGGUAUGUACUACACUCUGUGACAUGGCCCUCUUAAGAAAGGCCGCACCAAUCAUAGGUUGGCUCUUACAUUACUGGCAACAAGUUACUUUCUCUGUUAGCCUGUACAUUAUCCUUUUUCUAUCAAUUGAGGGCUAUACUCAUUACUCACAAGUCACAACCUCAAAAUUGACAACGCUGCCUAUUCAGUACACUUUAUGACCCAUCUGCUUUGCCAUUCGUUCACUAAACCAUCUAUUGUAGCCGGAGGGCCAUCUAAAAGGACACUACCUAUUUUCUCCUUCUAAUGAUGUUAUUUUUAUUUUGAAAUGACGCGUUUACGGAUAAAAUUGCUACAAAAAAAGACAAAAAGAAAAUUGUCCAAAAAAAAGAAGAAAAUCGUAGUUAAGGGGCACUGUGUCUAUUGAUAAUAACUUUUGAAAUCACGUGGUUGGAAAAUGAAGGACAGCCGUAACGAAUUUGAAAACGCGUGUUUUCAAAGCAAUUAUUGCGCUUUGUGGAUGCAAUUGUCGAAGUGCUAUUUACCAAAAAGCCUUCACUAAUCUGGAAAAUGAAAAAAAUUAAUGCCGAAAUAAAGGAUAAUUAAACUGCCCAAAAGCCAUCUUAUACUGUAAAUUCAGCAUUGAACUUGUUGAAUUACAACUGCCUUGAAUUUUGUGUCUUGUUUUGUAAAUGCCUGCCCAAAACUUUCAUUUAAGAAUCGACUACUUUGGCUACUCCACAUUUUAAUAUUUAAUGUUGGAAGCUAAUAUAUUUAUCCUUAAAAGGAUUAGAUAUUUCAACAAAUAAAGGAUAAUUUAAUUUUUUUUAUUUAGUUUGUUAUAACUAGGAGUGUUCGUAGUGCGGUGCAGUGCGGUAUUGGACCAUUUUUAGAACUGCACUUUGCGGUGCGAUUUAGCUAAAACCAUAACUGCACUGCACUUUAUUUUUGCAGUCACAUGUGCGGUGCGGUGUGGUGUGGUGCGGUUUAGAGUUUAGCUAAAACCAUAAUCGCACUACACCUCAUUUUUGCGGUCACAUGUGUAAUACUAUGUAUAAGAUGCGAUUUGAAAUCGGUACUUUUUCAAAUUUUGGGCUUUUUCUACUCAACCCAAAACUAAUUUUUCCCCUUUUUUUGGACCAAGUUUUAAAUUAUUGAACUAGUUUUUCUUUAUUUUGAGUUGGCUUUUCUAGUCAACAUUUGCUAGGCUUAUUAAACUUUUUUUUUUGGAAAACUAGGGUUAUUAAACUAUUAAUAAUAUAUUUAAUAUUAAAAAUAAAUAAAUAUAUUAAUAUAUAGAGAGAGGGUACGGUGCAGUGCGGUUUGUGCGGUUUUCUUAUUAUAAAACCGCAAACUACACUGCACCAUGCGGUGUGGUGCAAUGUGGUGCACUAUUACUUGCGGUGCAGUGCGAUUAGGCCAUUUUGCGGGCGGUUUUGGUGUGGUUUGUGCGGUUUAUGUGGUUUGGUGAACACCCCUAAUUAUAAUAAUGAAAGAUGUGUGUUUUGAACCUUGAAUAUUUCUAUUAGAAACACUGGAAAGUGCUAGUUAACAUAUAUCUUUAUAAAUAAAUGGUUUUUAAAAUUUUUAUUAUAAUUAAUAUAUUUAUAGUUUUUCAUUGUAUGAUUUUAUUGUAACUAGUCUUCUCUCAAAAUAAAAUAUAUAGUUUGACCGAAAACUUGAUUUUUUUUUUUUAAUGCAAUUAUGCCAUGUACUUGAAGGAUUAAUUAUAUUAUCUUUUAUUUUUAAAUAAUGUAAUAUGUUUAAAAAUUAUUUCAAUUUUAUUAGAUAAUUUUUUAAUCAAUUACUAAUUUUUACAAAUUUAUUAAAUUUAUUUGUAUUCAUUUAAUAUUAAAAAAAUUAUCAACUAAAAUGUAAAUGCCUUAUAAACAUAUUACAUGAGUUUAAAAAAAAAAAUUAUACUUUGAGUACAUGGCAUAGUUGCAUAAACAAACAAAUGAUUUCAAAAUUUUGAACAAGACUUUUUUAAUAAAUGAAUAAUUACUAUAAAAUUUCAAAGACUCAAAUGAAAAGCCCAGGCCCACUUAGAAUAAUGGCUCCCAGUUCUUCAAGCCCAGUACAAUAAAUUUGUUAGAGAGUGGGUUUUUGAGUCAAUUGCAAUGCUAAGGAAAUUACAAGCUUGGGAAAAAUAUGACUAAAACAUUUAAUACAAAUGAAAGAAGCUCUGAUUUAAUGUAAACUCUUCCCCAGGCAAGUCCGAGGAUGAAUUGCUCAUUAACAGUCAAGGCGAUAUUUUUACAGUAUGAUCUUUAAUUCUCUCUCUCUUUUCCUUUAUAUAGUCCAUUCCAUUACAUCUUAGCCCUCCAUCUAUACGUCUCAGGGGAGUAAUUUGAAUGCUUUUCCCAUCAAAGCCUUUCUGGAGGUGGUAGAGAGAGUUAUGAGCUAUGAAGUCAUUAUUCAGGUGUCUUUUCCUCGUAAAUGCAGCAAGUUCAGUUGGUGCAAAGCAUUAAAUGUGGAGGUGAUAGCCACCUUCCUAGAUAUUUCCCCUUUCCAUUAAUUACACGACUCUGGUGUCUUCCAUAGAGCUUUACUUUCUGGUGCAGGGAGUUACAUAAGGUACUCCUAAGGUGCAUUUGAUCCUUGGGCUCCCCGGUCGAUGAGCUAGCUAGCCUUCUUUCUUCGGACCUCUUAUUCUUAAUUUUAGUCCGGCUCUGAAUGAUCCCGACAUCUUCCCUCCUCGGUCUUACCCCACAUGUCAGAGUUCAAUUGACACAUGUGUGGGCCUUUGAUUAUCCUUGGGCAGGGCUUAUGGACCUUUGAAUAUCUUCGGAUCAGUGCUCCCACAAAAAUCAUACAAUAAAAAACUAUAAAUAUAUUAAUCAUAAUAAAAAUUAAAAUGAAAGCUUAUUCAUUUUAUUGAUAUAUGCUAACUAGUAUUUCCUGGUAUUUUUAAGGAAAAUAUUCAAAAUAAAACCAUAAUCGCACUACACCUCAUUUUUGCGGUCACAUGUGUAAUACUAUAUAUAAGAUGUGAUUUGAAAUCGGUAUAUUUUUCAAAUUUUGGGCUUUUUCUACUCAACCCAAAACUAAUUUUUCCCUUUUUUUGGACCAAGUUUUAAAUUAUUGAGCUAGUUUUUCUUUAUUUUGAGUUGGCUUUUCUAGUCAACAUUUGCUAGGGUUAUUAAACUUUUUUUUUUUGGGGAAAACUAGGGUUAUUAAACUAUUAAUAAUAUAUUUAAUAUUAAAAAUAAAUAAAUAUAUUAAUAUAUAGAGAGAGGGUACGGUUUGUGCGGUUUGUGCGGUUUUCUUAUUAUAAAACCGCAAACUGCACUGCACCAUGCGGUGUGGUGCAAUGUGAUGCACUAUUACUUGCGGUGUAGUGCGAUUAGGCCAUUUUGUGAGCAGUUUUGGUGCGGUUUGUGCGGUUUAUGUGGUUUGGUGAACACCCCUAAUUAUAAUAAUGAAAGAUGUGUGUUUUGAACCUUGAAUAUUUCUGUUAGAAACACUGGAAAGUGCUAGUUAACAUAUAUCUUUAUAAAUAAAUGGUUUUAAAAUUUUUAUUAUAAUUAAUAUAUUUAUAGUUUUUCAUUGUAUGAUUUUAUUGUAACUAGUCUUCUCUCAAAAUAAAAUAUAUAGUUUGAACGAAAACUUGAUUUUUUUUUUUUAAUGCAAUUAUGCCAUGUACUUGAAGGAUUAAUUAUAUUAUCUUUUAUUUUUAAAUAAUGUAAUAUGUUUAAAAAUUAUUUCAAUUUUAUUAGAUAAUUUUUUAAUCAAUUACUAAUUUUUACAAAUUUAUUAAAUUUAUUUGUAUUCAUUUAAUAUUAAAAAAAUUAUCAACUAAAAUGUAAAUGCCUUAUAAACAUAUUACAUGAGUUUAAAAAAAAAAAUUAUACUUUGAGUACAUGGCAUAGUUGCAUAAACAAACAAAUGAUUUCAAAAUUUUGAACAAGACUUUUUUAAUAAAUGAAUAAUUACAAUAAAAUAUCAAAGACUCAAAUGAAAAGCCCAGGCCCACUUAGAAUAAUGGCUCCCAGUUCUUCAAGCCCAGUACAAUAAAUUUGUUAGAGAGUGGGUUUUAGAGUCAAUUGCAAUGCUAAGGAAAAUACAAGCUUGGGAAAAAUAUGACUAAAACAAUUAAUACAAAUGAAAGAAGCUCUGAUUUAAUGUAAACUCUUCCCCAGGCAAGUCCGAGGAUGAAUUGCUCAUUAACAGUCAAGGUAGAUAUUUUUACAGUAUGAUCUUUAAUUCUCUCUCUCUUUUCCUUUAUAUAGUCCAUUCCAUUACAUCUUAGCCCUCCAUCUAUACGUCUCAGGGGAGUAAUUUGAAUGCUUUUCCCAUCAAAGCCUUUCUGGAGGUGGUAGAGAGAGUUAUGAGCUAUGAAGUCAUUAUUCAGGUGUCUUUUCCUCGUAAAUGCAGCAAGUUCAGUUGGUGCAAAGCAUUAAAUGUGGAGGUGAUAGCCACCUUCCUAGAUAUUUCCCCUUUCCAUUAAUUACACGACUCUGGUGUCUUCCAUAGAGCUUUACUUUCUGGUGCAGGGAGUUACAUAAGGUACUCCUAAGGUGCAUUUGAUCCUUGGGCUCCCCAGUCGAUGAGCUAGCUAGCCUUCUUUCUUCGGACCUCUUAUUCUUAAUUUUAGUCCGGCUCUGAAUGAUCACGACAUCUUCCCUCCUCGGUCUUAACCAACAUGUCAGAGUUCAAUUGACACAUGUGUGGGCCUUUGAUAAUCCUUAGGCAAGGCUUAUGGACCUUUGAAUAUCUUCGGAUCAAUGCUCCCACAAAAAUCAUACAAUAAAAAACUAUAAAUAUAUUAAUCAUAAUAAAAAUUAAAAUGAAAGCUUAUUCAUUUUAUUGAUAUAUGCUAACUAGUAUUUCCUGGUAUUUUUAAGGAAAAUAUUCAAAAUUCAAAUCUAACAUCUCUCAUUGUUACAACUAUCGAUUUGAAGAAGAAAAAUUUGAACUUAUAAUUUAUUUGUUGAAAUAUAUAAUCCUUUUAAGAAGAAAUAUAUUAGCUUCUGUUAAGUUUUAGAGCCCUGAAAAACAUAGUUUGGUUAACCUAAUUUAAUAACCAAGUUGUUACUUAUGUCAAUUAUACAUAUAUAAGUUAAACAAUAAUAAAUCAUAUCAUGCACAACAAAAAAGUAGAUAACUCAAUGAUGUUAGAACCCAAGAAAACCAAUGAAACAACUCGUUUCAAGGUUAAAAAAAAAAUUAAAAAAAAAAAACCUUGUGGGGAACUACCCCAAGAGAACAAUCCACUAUAUCAAGUUGAGAUUUACAGUUCAGAAUAUCAAUUUGUAGUAAAUCUAACACAGUUACCAAACUAGGCUUUGAAUCCAUAGACUUCCUUGAUCUAGAUCUUAUUCUCACAUGAACCACAUGUUCAAGCUUUAGAUCUCACACACAGACUUCCAAUCUAUGACUCCAAGACCACAUUUGAUGACUAGUGAUGACAGUAACUUCUACAAUAUCGGAUUUUGAGUUUCUUCAAAGAAAAUUGCUAGUAGAAAAUUUGAGAAAGCUUUGGGUAAAGAAACCCUAGAUCUAAAAAAGGAGGCAUAAGAAGCACUAUUCUCUCAUUAUUUAAAAUGUGCCUUAGAGUUUCCUCUCAAUACUAUGUGAAUUAGAUUUAAAGCCCUAAUCACUUAAUGGGUUGAUGGGCUUCAUUUAAAAUUUUGCAAAAACGCAUCUUGAUCGGUCAAAUCCAGUCUUGAUCGAUCGAACUUGGCAUGUUUCGAAUUCCCUAAACCUGCAGCUUCCUUGUUCUUGUAUUUAGACUUGUAACACCUUAAGCAUUGUUUAAUAUACCCUAUAGAAUCUAAAAUCUAUAUCUAGACAAGUUUGUAUUCACAGUUUGUCAAUUGUUUUAAAUUUUUAGAACCUAACAACUUCCGAUCAACAAUAUCUAAUCCUUUUAAGAAGAAAUAUAUUAGCUUCCAACUUAGUGGUUGGUUCUUAAAUGAAAAUUUUUCCUCUAAGGAGGAGUUUGAAGACUUGUCAAGCGCCUAUUUUGGGCAUGGACAAAGACUACUUCUUCUUCUUUAAUUAUUAUUAUUAUUAUUAUUAUCUCCCCUCUGUUUUGCUUGGUAAUUACUUCUCUCCUCACUUCUAUCAUAUAGUACCAAAAAACUUAGCUAUUACUAAUAUUUUGCCAAAAAAACUCAACAUAAACGAAUAAUUUCCUGUUACGACCUCAAAUUUGAUUCAAAUUUAAUGAAAACAUGAAUUUACCUCAACAAAUGCACCACAAAUAUUAUGACAUCCUUAAAUCUUUUGUUAUGACAUCCUCUCCUGAUGACAGCUCUUUAUUAUCAGAUCAAGACACCAAUUAAUUUUUAGUGUAAACGGAGAUUAAACUUUAGAUCUCUUAUUUAACCAUCGAUAAUUUUACCAAUUGAGGGUGAAAGAGACUUCAAGGUACUAGAAGUGCAGAGGUGGUGCAAUGUGACUUGGUGAGGAUGAGAGAGAGUGAGAAGAUUUCUUCUUUAAAAAAAAAUUAAGAUAAAUAAAUAAUCAAAUAUUAUUUUUAAAUAAUUCUAUUAUAUCUCACAACUACUAUUUUUUACUAAACGAAAUUUAAUUAGUUGUGUAAAUGAUAUAGCAUGUUUGAUUGGACCAAAUGUAAUAAUUUUAAGUUUAUUUGGCACUUAAGGCUACCUCAAUAAUAGAUAUGGACGAAAUGACUCAAAUCAAAAUAUUAUAUAAUGUUAGGGGUUCAAAUAAAUAAAUUUAAAAUUUACUAAACAAAAUUAAAAUGACCGCAAACGUGAAAGGCUGAAAUUUUACAUUUAUUUUGUUGAUAAUCAGAUAAUUAUAAUAGAAAUGAGGGAUUUAAACCAUAAAUGUCUUAUACGUUAUUAGGAGUUAUCAACUAAUUGAACUAUAAGACUCUUGGCUCUAUAAUUUACAAUUUAGUCUUUCAUUUUCAAGAUAAAGUUUUUAUAUCUAUCAUAUGUAAAAUGACUAAUAUGUCUUUUUAGCCCCCCCUUUUUUUUUUUUCCAAAAUUCAAUUGUCCCAUAAAUGAAAUGGCAUGUUUAUAGAUAUCGCCUAGUAUAAAGGGAACAAUAAUGCUAAAACUUAAAAAAAAAAAAAAAAAAAAAAAAAAAAAAAAAAAAAAAAAAAAAAAAAAAAAAAAAAACUAACUAACUAACUAACUAACUAAACUCAUAUCGUCAGGUAAACUUACGCGAAUAAGUGCCCUUAUGUGUGUCAAGGGUUUUGUACCACAACUAACACCUUUUGAGUUUUGAUGUUUUCAUUAGAUUCAAAUCCUUCUUCUCCCAACUAAUUAUAGAAUUAUCAAAAUGGUCAAGUUAAUGAGUGCACUUAGAGUAAUUAUUAAUAAACUAUUUUAGGAAAGUUUUUAUACUAUUUUUAUGAAAAAUUAAAAAAGUUAUCAAAAUAUUAAUUAUUUUUUUCCAUGAUUUAAAAAAAAAAAAAAUUUACUAAUUAAUGUUCUUAGAGCAUUUGUUAACUUUUACCUUAUCAAACAGUGAACUUGUGUGUGCAGCACUAGGCAUCCUUGAAUUGAGAGACAUAUCCUAAAGGCAUACACCUAAGGAGUGUGUGUGUUGACAGGGGCGGUGCUUAGUGUGAGCACUAGGUGACCUUAUUCGUAGUGAGAGAGACAAAUGCCAAGUAGUGGGAACCAUGGUUCUCAGACCCGGACCGGACCGUACGGUCCGACCCGGUUAACCGUGAACCCCUUGUUAUUCCGAUUCUUUUAGAACUAUGUACCCUUUUAUGUGAAAAAUGCAUGAAACCACUCGAACCGCGGUCAAACCGUAUGGUUCAGAGAACCGUGGACGGUUUUAAAGGUUCGCACGGUUCCAUUUUUUUUUACUAUAUUUGGCCGGAAAACAGAUCUUAUUUGGCCGGAAAAUAGGACUCAGUCCAUAAAGAAUUUGAAUAUAAAAAAUAAAAAAACAAAUUGCGAGAGAGAAAAAGAAAAUAGAGAGCCAAGUUGGUGCGAUUGCUAACAUCACUGUUAAUUUUCUGGUUAUAUCUUUCCGAUCAUCCCCACCUCCUAUUUUCUUCUUCUCCUUCUCGGCCACACUUCGCCCAGCAGGCAGCAGCUAGAAACCCAUCUCCUCAUAUUAGCUCUUGUUUCUUGUUUUUGACUGAGUAGUGCACUAAUACUUGUUUUUGUUAAGUGUGCCCACUGUUUUGCCUGACAAAACCACUACCACGUGACCUUAUGAAGCUCAGUAGACUAAUAGUAAGAUUUGACCAUUCAAAUUUUUUUUAACUUUUGUCAUCCGCCAAUAUUGAGGUCCUUUUAAACAAUAGGUGUCCCUCUUCUUUCCCCCCCCCCCCCCUUUUUUAAUGUUAUUUAAGGUUAUCGUCCUUCUAAAGUUAUUAUUAUUGUUAUUAUUAUUAUUAUCACACGUUUAACUAAUCAAUAUAAAAAUAAGAAAAUAAAUAGUAUAUAUAUGUUUGCUUAAGCUUUGAUAUUUCAAAAUUAUGAUAUGAAAAAUAUAAAGAUACCUCUUUUAUCUAAUUGGACUAUUUUAGUUAAUUUUUCUAUUUAUACUAAUUAAAAGUAUUUAUUUAUAUUUUAAAUAAUUAAUAAAUUAAUUAUAACGUCAUCAAGGUUCGACCACGGUUCGACCUCGGUCCGACCUCAAAAACUUUGAACAUCUUUUAUUUACGGUUCAAUGAACGGUCCGGGUCUGAGAACCUUGGUGGGAACACCAAGAUGCACUGCUAAUUCUUGAACAUUCUCUCCAAGGCUUGUCCUUAUUUAAAUUUCAGUCCAUGAAAAAGUGAGUAAGGUGUGAUUGUGAAAUGUGAAUACUUGCGACCAAAGUCUCAUCAAAUUGUUCUUAUCUCCUUAACAACUUAGCAAAUUAGCAAAUACCCCUAGAUUUUAUAAAUGGAACAACCCCACAAAUCAGAAAAACAAAGGCCCUUGGUUGCAAAUUUGCAAUAUCAUCUACUUUUUAUAUUGCACCAAGUGAGGUCGGCUCUAUCUAUUUAAGAGCACCCAACCAGCUAAUCUUGGGCCUCAACUGCUACAACCUCCAUAGCUAGAUCUUCUCAAGCUCCCUUGAGCCUCUGCAUCUUUGCAGGGUUCUUUUAACUCACAUCCUUGCUCUGCACCUUUUUUCUCUUCCUUCUUUUCAUUCUGUUCAGCUUCUUCUUUCUCUUCUCUAACCUAAACUCCCACACCUUUUUUGCUUUCUUGCUCUGCUUGUUCCCUGUUUCUUUGCAGAUCAUCAUCUACUUUUACACCUAUGGCAUCUAGUUCCUCCAAAAACACAAACUUUCCUCCCAAGAGAGGCCAGAUCAAAGCUCAAAUUUUUGGGAGCUUGGCCAAUUCUGUUGUCUCUGCAGCCUCAAAGGUAGGAGGAGCAGUAGGAAGGAUGAUAGGAGAAGUUGGAAGUGGAAGAAACUCUGCCUCUUCAACCCCACCUCCCAGUGCCUACAACUCUGAUGGGAGUUCUGAUCCCUCCUAG
rnacentral:sRNA from 1 species